rnacentral:tRNA from 2 species
GGGGAUGUAGCACAAUGGUAGUGCCUCAGUCUUCCAAACUGAUUACGCGGGUUCGAUUCCCGUCAUCCCCUCGA